AGAGUUUGAUUAUGGCUCAGGAUGAACGCUAGCUACAGGCUUAACACAUGCAAGUCGAGGGGCAGCAUUGGAGUAGCAAUACUUCAGAUGGCGACCGGCGCACGGGUGAGUAACACGUAUCCAACCUGCCGCUUACUCGGGGAUAGCCUUUCGAAAGAAAGAUUAAUACCCGAUGGUAUAAAGAGUUCGCAUGUUCUCUUUAUUAAAGAAUUUCGGUAAGCGAUGGGGAUGCGUUCCAUUAGAUAGUUGGCGGGGUAACGGCCCACCAAGUCUACGAUGGAUAGGGGUUCUGAGAGGAAGGUCCCCCACAUUGGAACUGAGACACGGUCCAAACUCCUACGGGAGGCAGCGGUGAGGAAUAUUGGUCAAUGGACGAGAGUCUGAACCAGCCCAAGUAGCGUGAAGGAUGCCUGCCCUAUGGGUUGUAAACUUCUUUUAUAAGGGAAUAAAGUGAGGGACGUGUCCCUUUUUGUAUGUACCUUAUGAAUAAGGAUCGGCUAACUCCGUGCCAGCCGCCGC
rnacentral:rRNA from 1 species